CUUUCACAGUUCUCUUUACUCGGGGACUAUAAAUAGAGACACUGAUGGCGCGCUGCCCUCAGUCUGUUCGCGGCCUCCCCGCUGUUAACAUCUCAAGUGGUAGUGAUCUAGCAGUGAUAGUGAAUUCCCCUGGACUCAAAAAAAUAUCAUUUGGAUCUGGAUAACGAGGAAGCAGCUAACUACGUCAUACCCUCUCACUUUCACAGUUCUCUUUACUCGGGGACUAUAAAUAGAGACACUGAUGGCGCGCUGCCCUCAGUCUUUUCGCGGCCUCCCCGCUGUUAACAUCUCAAGUGGUAGUGAAUUCCCCUGGACUCAAAAAAUAUCAUUUGGAUCUGGAUAACGAGGAAGCAGCUAACUGCGUCAUACCCUCUCACUUUCACAGUUCUCUUUACUCGGGGACUAUAAAUAGAGACACUGAUGGCGCGCUGCCCUCAGUCUGUUCGCGGCUUCCCCGCUGUUAACAUCUCAAGUGGUAGUGAUCUAGCAGUGAUAGUGAAUUCCCCUGGACUCAAAAAAAUAUCAUUUGGAUCUGGAUAACGAGGAAGCAGCUAACUACGUCAUACCCUCUCACUUUCACAGUUCUCUUUACUCGGGGACUAUAAAUAGAGACACUGAUGGCGCGCUGCCCUCAGUCUUUUCGCGGCCUCCCCGCUGUUAACAUCUCAAGUGGUAGUGAAUUCCCCUGGACUCAAAAAAUAUCAUUUGGAUCUGGAUAACGAGGAAGCAGCUAACUACGUCAUACCCUCUCACUUUCACAGUUCUCUUUACUCGGGGACUAUAAAUAGAGACACUGAUGGCGCGCUGCCCUCAGUCUUUUCGCGGCCUCCCCGCUGUUAACAUCUCAAGUGGUAGUGAAUUCCCCUGGACUCAAAAAAUAUCAUUUGGAUCUGGAUAACGAGGAAGCAGCUAACUGCGUCAUACCCUCUCACUUUCACAGUUCUCUUUACUCGGGGACUAUAAAUAGAGACACUGAUGGCGCGCUGCCCUCAGUCUGUUCGCGGCUUCCCCGCUGUUAACAUCUCAAGUGGUAGUGAUCUAGCAGUGAUAGUGAAUUCCCCUGGACUCAAAAAAUAUCACCUGGAUCUGGAUAACGAGGAAGCAGCUUAAGAAGCCUGAUUAAAGUCACCGUAAAUAUAACUCUACACCGGAGGUAACUAAGCACGGAUGGAAAAGGCUAAUCAUGCGCCCUCUAUUUCGAAUAUGGAUCUGGAAUAGCAGAGGAAGCGACAGCGGCUUUCUCUGCUAAGGUGCUGAAGGCCUUUAGAGUGCUGGAGAGAGCUAGAAGGGAUCGGACGGGCUUAGAGGCCGCACAAUAUGGGGCCUUGCGCAGUUUCUAAUUCUAAGCAUUUAU